GAUGAACGCUGGCGGCGUGCCUAAUACAUGCAAGUCGAGCGAACAGACGAGGAGCUUGCUCCUCUGACGUUAGCGGCGGACGGGUGAGUAACACGUGGAGAACCUACCUAUAAGACUGGGAUAACUUCGGGAAACCGGAGCUAAUACCGGAUAAUAUAUUGAACCGCAAGGUUCAAUAGUGAAAGACGGUUUUGCUGUCACUUAUAGAUGGAUCCGCGCCGCAUUAGCUAGUUGGUAAGGUAACGGCUUACCAAGGCAACGAUGCGUAGCCGACCUGAGAGGGUGAUCGGCCACACUGGAAAUGAGACACGGUUCAAAAAGCUAUGAGAGGCAGUACCAGCGCGUCGCCCGUACGAUCCGAAAUUUUGUCUUAGCAACGCCUCGAGGUUGAUGAAGAGUGUCAGCUCGUAAAACGCUGUCCUACGGGAAGAACAACAGUGUAAUUAACUAUGUUCGUCUGGACGUUACCAAAUCAGAAAGCAACGGCUACUUUAGU
rnacentral:rRNA from 1 species